GGAGGAGGGGAAAACGAAAUGAAGAUAAAGUUCCCCAGAGAAUCUAUAUGACUUGAUUAUUCCAGAGAGAGAGAAAGGAGUGUAAAGAAGGAGGUGUAGAACAUGUAUCAAAACAAUGGGUUAAAUAUGUCUGUUUAGACAAACCAAUAACCAUUGUAACCAGCGUAGGGGAGGGAAGAGAUAAGGAGGAGAAAAGGGGUGGGGCGGAGAAUAUAUCUUUAUAUCCAGAAGUGACCUAGAGAUAAUCCAGGCAAUGCUGCAGUGCUGGUCGGGAGGAGCUUUCUGCACGGUCUGUGUUGCUCCGUGGAUACGCAGUUACCCAGUGUGAGGGGGCGCGGUUUGGUGUAGUCUGGACCCACCUCCACUCUGGGUCCCGGGAGUGAUGCCUGAGGCUCCGCCUUGGUGGUGUGGAGGGGGGAGGAGAUGGUGAUCCCUCAGUCUCUUCUCCACAGAGCCGGAUCAGGUGGAUUCUGUUUGAGUCUUCCUCACUGUACCGUGGGCGCAGGCGGGGCGGUCCUUCUCUCUCCACCAACUCCCCUGACCCUGCGCUUGGCUAGGUUUCAAAGUCCUGCUCCAUGCGCUGUGGCGCUGGGAAAGCGCCUCUCAGUGUGGCCCGAUUUGUGGUCCCAGCUGGCUUUGUCUGUGCCACUGCACUUCAUGGAGGACAGCCUUCUCCUACUGUGGACUGAGCCACUGCCCUUGCCGCCGUGAGCCCCCGGGGUGGUGGUCGCAGGCUGGCUUUGUCUUUUUCCACAGCACCCCAGGGAGACGGCCGCCUUUUCUUCCUGCAGACUGCGCCCUCAGUCCAGCCACUGCCACUGGGGGAGGCGGACGCAGGCAGGCUUUGUACUAUCCCACCGCUCUCCAGGAGGGAACUACUUUCUCCAACUUCGGACUGAGUCCCUGACAUACCACCACACCCAGGGAUGGCUACCCCCAUCCCCUGCCCGCCCUCCCUUGCCGGUGUGCGAACAGGGAGCCGGCCCAGUCGAAGAAAGCCCCGCAAUUAGAGAUCGGAUCCCUCUCAGUCUCAGUCCGAGGUCUUUCUCCUGUCCAGAUACGGUCCUACACUUCCCUAGCCGCUCUUUCUCUUCCCUUUGUCUCUCCGCAGAAGGGGGAGGGGGUCCCUCCUCUCCGUGCCCAUGCGGCUUUUUUUUUUUUUUAUCUCCCCCAGUUCGCAAUCACCCACCUAUCUUUUUUCCAGCUUUCCCAUUUUCUUCCUGGUAGAUUCAGUCUCUUUUCCUCCCAGGCUCUGUUGUUCAAAAUCCUUUGGCUUCUGCACUUCUUUGUUUGAGAGACGUGGGAAGUAUGGUUCCCACUACUUGUCGGCCAUGUUGGCCUCCUCUGCCUCAGGUGCCGUCUGACUCUGCUUCGCCAUUUUUUGUUGUCCCUCUGCCUCUAAGCCCACGCGAAAAUCGCAGGGCACUGGGGAGCAGGUGACGAUCCUCGGGCUGACAGAGCUUCCUCAGGAAGACGCGGCAUGACAGUUCAGAAGACAAUAGGAAAACUGUGGAGAUGAGAAAAAGUGGCAACAAAAAAUUGGAACAAGAUACCUGAAAAAAAAAGUUUUCUAGAGCCUUACUGAUUUCUUGGAUGCUUGUUCUGUCAGCUAUCAGAAGAGGCAAAGACUCAUCAGUUUACCCGACAGAACAAUUUCUAAUCAGGAAGUAGUGGAAGAGAUUUGAAUUGCUCAACAUCUUUGGAUGAGCCCCAGACAGUGUGUGUUUUGUGUAUAUGCUAAGCAAGCAGGGUGAAGAAGCAGUGCGGUUUUUCCGUCUCAUAUAUGUGCACAUGAUUCCAUGUAUUUCAAGAUGUUCUUUUACUUAGCUUUAUUUUGUUCAAUUUGUGUUUUUCUUUCCAUUGAGCACAUUUUGAAUGUAAGAUAACCACAAAGCGACAAAAGGUUGAAAUACAAACAAAAUGGUACAGAAUGAAAAAUGUGCUUGCUAGAGAAUUACUCUGUUGUAGCCUUCUACAUCAAUUACCACUUCUUAUCAGGUUUUCUUUGCCUUCUUUAGCGAGUACAGUAAACCUUGUCUAAAUUACAGUUUACAUCCGAACUUCACUUAUUCAUUUAAAAAUUUCUAUGUAUUAUGUAUAUGAAGUUACUUCAAUGUUCAGUUGACUUUUUUGUGUGAAUCUUGGCUUGGAGUUCAUCUUGACUUUUCUCAUUAAGAUUAAUGGAAUUCUUACCCAUGUCAAAUCGCUUAACUUAGCACAUUUUUCAGGAAUGAAUUAAAGUUGUUAAGUGACAGAGGUUCUGAUAUUUUGUUUAUAACAAUUUUUAGCUACUAUAUUACAAUAAUAAUGGGAACUAAGAUGUGAACUCUUCCCCUACACUGAAAGUACAGUAAGAAUUUAGUAUUGCACAUGGGAAAAAUGAGCAAUUAUAGUUCAUAUGUGUCAGUUGCUCAAGUGUAAAACUGUGAAGUAUACAUUAAAAUAGAUAUUGAAAACCAGUUAUCUAUUACUUUUGGUUGUUAGUGUUCAGUGUUGUUUAUUGGUAGUCAGUAUCCAUGUCCCUCCCCCCUAAGAUCUGCUUGUAUUAUAAGGAGUAGUCUGACUAACACUCCCUGGCAAUUAGGUUUCUAGAUGUGAUUUAGCUCCUGGUAAUGAGAUGUACUCCAACGAGGCUUAGAAUGUCAAAGGGAGGUGAAGGCCAGCCUACUUGUCCUGGUGAUCGUUUUGGGGGUGUUGUGCAGAAAUGAGUCUUUACAGCUGCCAGAACCCACUUUCCAGUGUGUGUUCAACUUCAUGGGCCACACUAAGAUGCUGACCUCUGUGUGUCACUUGUAUGAAGUCAAUGGUGAGGUGAAUUUGAAGCCCAUCAGUGUCUUGACUUUAGCUACUGCAGCCCCUUCCAACAAUUCUGUAAUUUUCUGCAAGGUGGGCCUUUCUGCUUGAAGUAGUUUGAGUACUAUUAGUUUUCGCACUAAAUUGUGACUAACUCCCAGCCCUGUGUAUGUGUGCACACACAUUCACAUAACCAUGUGAAUUUUAGGUUUAAUGGGAUUAUCAUUGGAUGCCUCCGGGCCAUAGGAUGGGCACAAAAUUACCCCAUUCAAAGUAGCCGGUUCCUCUCCAGGCAUAUGACAUAAGCAGAGAUAGAAUUCUCUAAAGGGAAUGAUUUCUUCAAGAGGAAUCUACUUAGAUUCUAAGAACUAAGGCCUGACUGAAUCUGGAGCUGCUAGAAUACCCUUCCUGAAAAUGAAGCAGAAGAAAUCAGAGUUAAUUGAUGAUGAGUAGGAGGGUCUAGUGACAAAGUUUGGACCCCUGGAUCCAGUCUUGCCUUGUAGCCACUUCUUGAAUUCUCUACUUAUGAAUACAUGCACACAAAGUUUUGUUUUGUUUUGUUUUGUUUGGGUUAAGAUCAUUUGAGUUAGGUUUCUGCCAUACGCCUUUUUAAAAUUUUUAUUUUUUUGAGAUAGAGAAAGAGUGAGAGAGUGUGAGCAUGAUGGGGAGAGGGGCAGAGGGAGAAAGAGAAAAUCUUAAGCAAG